rnacentral:rRNA from 1 species
CCUACGGGUGGCAGCAGUGAGGAAUAUUGGUCAAUGGGCGGAAGCCUGAACCAGCCAAGUAGCGUGCGGGAUGAAGGCCCUACGGGUCGUAAACUGCUUUUGCACGGGGAUAACACCCUCCACGUGUGGAGGUCUGCAGGUAUCGUGCGAAUAAGGGUCGGCUAACUCCGUGCCAGCAGCCGCGGUAAUACGGAGGGGCCGAGCGUUAUCCGGAUUUAUUGGGAUUAAAGGGAGCGUAGGCGGGCGGACAAGUCAGCUGUAAAAUCGCGGGGCUCAACCCCGCCCUCGCAGAUGAUACUGGACGGCUUGAGAGCAGUAGAGGCAGGCGGAAUUCGUGGUGUAGCGGUGAAAUGCAUAGAGAUCACAAAGAACCCCGAUUGCGAAGGCAGCCUACCAAGGUACGUCUGACGCUGAGGCUCGAAGGUGCGGGUAUCAAACAGGAUUAGAUACCCCGGUAGUC